UACGUAGGUGACAAGCGUUGUCCGGAUUUACUGGGCGUAAAGAGCGCGCAGGCGGUCGUUCAAGUCGAGUGUGAAAGCCCCCGGCUCAACUGGGGAGGGUCACUCGAUACUGAUCGACUCGAAGGCAGGAGAGGGAAGUGGAAUUCCCGGUGUAGUGGUGAAAUGCGUAGAUAUCGGGAGGAACACCAGUGGCGAAGGCGACUUCCUGGCCUGUUCUUGACGCUGAGGCGCGAAAGCGUGGGUAGCAAACGGG
rnacentral:rRNA from 1 species